rnacentral:lncRNA from 1 species
UCAAACCAUUAGCAAGAUAAAGUUUGCCGACAUUGAGAAAAGGCCUACUCGGGUACCAAGGCCACCUCCUAAACCAUCAGGUGGUGGUUCUGUUAGCACAAACUCAAAUCCUGCGAAUGGAAUACCAUCUGCUCCAUCCAUUCCUCCUCCUCCUCCUCGUCCACCAGGCGGACCUCCUCCUCCACCAGGUGGACCGCCUCCUCCACCGCCUCCUCCAAGAGGCCUAUCAAAAGGAGCAGCGGAUGACGACAAAGUUCACCGUGCUCCACAGUUAGUUGAAUUUUAUCAAUCAUUGAUGAAACGGGAAGCAAAGAAGGAUACUUCUUCCUUGUUAGUUUCUUCAA